rnacentral:rRNA from 1 species
CUCAGAACGAACGCUGGCGGCAGGCCUAACACAUGCAAGUCGAGCGGACCCUUCGGGGUUAGCGGCGGACGGGUGAGUAACGCGUGGGAAUAUGCCCUUCUCUACGGAAUAGUCCUGGGAAACUGGGGGUAAUACCGUAUACGCCCUUUGGGGGAAAGAUUUAUCGGGGAAGGAUUAGCCCGCGUUGGAUUAGGUAGUUGGUGGGGUAAUGGCCUACCAAGCCGACGAUCCAUAGCUGGUUUGAGAGGAUGAUCAGCCACACUGGGACUGAGACACGGCCCAGACUCCUACGGGAGGCAGCAGUGGGGAAUCUUAGACAAUGGGGGCAACCCUGAUCUAGCCAUGCCGCGUGAGUGAUGAAGGCCUUAGGGUUGUAAAGCUCUUUCAGCUGGGAAGAUAAUGACGGUACCAGCAGAAGAAGCCCCGGCUAACUCCGUGCCAGCAGCCGCGGUAAUACGGAGGGGGCUAGCGUUGUUCGGAAUUACUGGGCGUAAAGCGCACGUAGGCGGACCGGAAAGUUGGGGGUGAAAUCCCGGGGCUCAACCUCGGAACUGCCUUCAAAACUACUGGUCUUGAGUUCGAGAGAGGUGAGUGGAAUUCCGAGUGUAGAGGUGAAAUUCGUAGAUAUUCGGAGGAACACCAGUGGCGAAGGCGGCUCACUGGCUCGAU